AUGGCUGAUUGUCCGCCGCCGCAGAAGCCACAGGGACACACUCAGUCCUACUCCAUUGAUCCCCACUGGUACAUGGACUCUGUGGCGACAGAGCACCUGACCAGUGAGAUGGGGAAGCUUCACACUCGUGAACCCUACCAUGGCUCCGACAAGAUCCACACCGCCAAUGGAGCAGGUAUGCACAUCUCUCAUAUUGGUCAAGCAUCACUUCUCACUAGACAUGCCAAUAGGAGUCUUCAACUUCGCAAUGUUCUUCGAGUUCCAUCUGUGACACGUAAUCUUCUUUCAGUUCCUAAACUCACUCGUGAUAAUAAUGUGCUUUGUGAAUUUCAUCCUUUUGAUCUUUUUAUUAAGGAUCGGGGCACGAGGGACAUUCUUCUUAGUGGGCGGCUCUGCCAAGGUCUCUAUCGUCUGGAGCAUCCUGGCGUCGCUCGCGUCUUCAGUGGAAUUCGGGUAUCUCCGUCACAGUGGCAUGCUCGUCUUGGUCACCCGGCCACACCUAUUGUCCGGCAUGUUUUGCGUCGUCAUGAGCUUCCUAGUGUGUCUAGUAAUAAAGAUGUAGCAGUGUGUGAUGCUUGUCAGCAGGGGAAGAGUCAUCAACUUCCUUUUUCGGAGUCCAGUCGUGAGGUGAAACAUCCUUUAGAACUUGUGUUUUCAGAUGUAUGGGGUCCUGCUCAGACUUCUGUUAGUGGUCAUAAUUACUAUAUCAGUUUUGUUGAUGCUUACAGCCGCUUUACCUGGCUUUAUCUUAUCAAACGUAAAUCUGAUGUGUUUGACAUUUUUGUUCAGUUCCAAAAACAUGUUGAACGCCUUCUCAAGCACAAAAUUGUUCAUGUUCAGUCGGACUGGGGUGGCGAGUAUCGCAACCUCAACUCCUUCUUUCAGUCGCUUGGGAUCACUCACCGUUUAGCAUGUCCACAUACACAUCAGCAGAAUGGUUCAGUAGAACGUAAGCAUCGUCACAUUGUUGAAGCUGGUCUGACUCUUUUGGCCCAUGCAUCUGUUUCGUUUCGUUUUUGGAGUGAUGCUUUCAUCACUGCAUGUUUUCUCAUCAAUCGUACUCCCACUCGUGUUUUGAAUAUGAAGACUCCCAUUGAAGUUCUCCUUAAUGAACAACCGGACUACACCUUUCUCAAGGUGUUUGGGUGUGCUUGCUGGCCCCAUCUCCGUCCAUAUAACAAGCGUAAGCUCGAGUUUCGUUCCAAGAAGUGUGUUUUUCUUGGUUAUAGCUCUCUUCAUAAAGGAUACAAAUGUCUUCAUGUGCCCACUAAUCGUGUCUACAUCUCUCGGGAUGUUGUGUUUGAUGAGCAUGUUUUUCCCUUUGCCAAACUCCCUGUGUCCACUACCGAGCCACCUGUCAUGCAUUCAUCCUCUGUUGCUUCUGACCAAUUUGAUGAUGUUGCAUAUUCUCCUCUAUUGUUGCCUAACCAUGGUGCAGGCACUGGUCGUGGGGCUCGUUUGGAGAUUCUGGAAGUGCCAUCUUCCUCUUCAUCGCCAUCGCCUUCAUCCUCGGCACCUUCUGUUGUGCAUGAGGAGCACAUGGCGCCCCUGCAUGGCCUCGGUUUCCGUGCUCAUGCACGGCCGAUCGACGCCCUGGCCCGGUCGCCUCUGGCUUCUGGGCUGCCUUCGCCAUCGUCGCGCCCUGCAACCCCGCCGACUGGGCUGGCCUCCUCGGUCCCCGUCUUGCCCAGGGCGUCGGGGCAGUCAUCACCAGGCCUGGCCUCGCCCGCCCCUGCCUCGCCCAGGGUGUCUGGGCCCUUCUCACCAGGGCCGGCCUCGCCUGCUCUCACCUCGCCAAGGCCGUCUGGGCCGGUGUCACCGGAGCUGGCCUCGCCCACUCUCGGUUCGCCCAUGGCCUCUGAGCCCCUGUCGUCGGGCCAGUCUUCGCCAUGCAGCCCGGAGUUGUCUGUCCCGAGCUCGCCUGAGGUGAUUCCUGCAUCUCCGGCGACCAUCACGUCUCCGUCACCUUCGCCUCCGCCGGCUCCUGCUGCUGCUCUACGUCCACAUACGCGCAGUCGGAGUGGCAUUUUUCAGCCUAAGCAACGUCACGAUGGCACAGUUGCUUGGUUAGCGGCGUGCAUGUCUGCUGCUCUCGCAGAUCCAUCCUCUGAGCCACGCACGUAUCAAGUUGCUAUGCGCAUUCCUCAUUGGAGAGAGGCCAUGGAGCAGGAGUAUCAAGCGCUUCUUCGCAAUCAGACAUGGACUCUUGUUCCUCCACAAUCACGGGUAAAUGUCAUUGAUUCCAAAUGGGUUUUCAAAGUGAAGAGGCAUUCUGAUGGGUCCAUUGAGCGCUAUAAGGCUCGUCUGGUUGCUCGUGGUUUUUGA
rnacentral:rRNA from 1 species